GAAGUGUGAAGGCAGCUGUGCCCGGAGUCCUGGUGAAUACUGGAGUGCACCUCCUAUCACCCCCCACUAAUCCUCUGUCACCCAUCAGUUUCCACAAAAAUUAGUUUCAGGCUCAGAGAUCAGAGCUGGAAGCAAGAUCCAGUGCAGCUGUGCAGCCGCGGCUCUGGGCUACAAGCUCGGGAGAGAAACCGGAUCUGAUUUCUUCCGGACCAGUCUCUCCCAGCACCAGAAGGAUGAUCGGAUCUCUGCAGCCUAUUGCUUUUUAACCACUUAUCAAGG